AAUGUGAACAUGACUUAGUGCCAUGCAAAACAUUAAAUGAAAUUGUAAAAUUCCCAUUGAUUUCAUGGGAGCAGAGAUAGGCCUAUACCGAGCACUUCUGCAAAUCCCAUUCUUAAAAUACUGUGUGCAAUUCUACUGUCCUUAUUAUAGGAAAGGCUUAAUUGCUAAGACUGAAAGUGCAGUGGGAAGUAACCAAAAAUGAUGCAGGGGAUGGAUUGUAAGAAAAGAUGAGAGAGAUUUCACCUCUGCUGGUCAGAAAAAAAAAAAGUAACGUCAGAGAGCUCUGUAAGAAGUAUGUAUUGGAGAUAGCUGAAACGACCUACAAUAUUUAAUUAAUAAAUAAGCAAUUGGGCAUAGAAGUAAUUUAGGCAGCAUUUAUUUACAGGGCAUUCUUUCAUAGCAGGGGGAUCUUUUUUAUUUGCACAAUAAACAUCCAGUAAUAGUGGGAUAUGCAGAAAACUGCAAACAAAGCAAUAAAUCAGAGUACGUAAAUCCAUUCAAGUGUGGUUGGGGAAAGAGAAAAAUGUGUUGUGUCAGAGCUACAAACUAUAUAUCUGUGCUCCAGCAGUGCAAUUUUGUGGUUUUGUUAGGUAUCUUUGGAUCUAUAAGAAAGCCCUGGUAAUUAUUUACUUGACAGUGUUCUUUGUACAAAGUCAAAUAUUCAAACACCUCGGUCCUUCCCCCCAAUAAAAUAAAAAUUCAGAGGGUGAGCUGAAACAGAAAGUAUAUUAAUCAAAAUGCAGAGCUUUGCACAGCUCUAAGAAUCCUGGAAUCUUUUUCCAGCCUUGCCUCUGACUCACCUGUGAAAACUUGGGCAAGUAACUUUGGGCCAGAUUUUUAAUGAUAUUUAGGCUCUCAACUCCCAUUGAUUUCACUGGGAGCUGGGCACCUAACUACCUUUAAAAAUCUGGCCCUUCACCUCGUUGCUUGUCUUACUGCAUCUGUGAAAUGGGUAUAAUAUCUAAUUUUCUCAAAGGAAUGUCAUGAGGCUUAAUUUAUGUUUGUAAGCAGCUUUGAAAUUUAUCCAUGAUAGAUACUUCACAUGUCCUGUUGUUAUUGUUCCAUUGUCUUUUAGUUUAUUCCUUACCUCGAAAUGUGUUGAUUUACGAAAGCCAUGCCUAAUUGGAGGUGAGUGAAUUAGUAUAUAAUACAUGAGGAAGGAAAAUGCUCCUCUCAUAACUGCAGAGGAAAUGAAUCCCAUUAGAGAAGAGCCGUAAUGUGAUUUAAAUGUUUUGCAGGAUUCCCAAGAGACCACCUCGCAGAUGUCAAACAUGAGCCCCUUUCCUAAGCCAGAGUUGCCGUACUGCUAGUUUACUCAGCAUGAGUAAGAAAGGGAGAAGAUUUGUGUUACCGCUUGUAUGCUUCUGCACUGAUGUGAUAAAAAUAAGCAUCCCCAUUUCCUGGGUGAGGGAGAGUAGAGGAGAGUCUUUAACAUUUCUUGACUGGUCUAGCCUCUAUAAAUAUUUUAAUGCCCUUCUAACAUACAUGUCUCUCCUGUUUGAUUUUGAUGGCUUAAGGGCAUAAAGAUUUCCAGUCUUACGUCAAAAUUGGAGUGAAAAUGUAAUAUCCUUUUAAGAUAAAAGGAAGACUCUAAAGCACUAUAUGUUUUGUAAAGCUCAGGAAAGGUUCUUUAAGCAACAAAUGCUGGUAGUUCUGCAGUAAUUUGAAGGGUAUAAACACUAAGAAGAAGAAGAAUUGCAGAUGGUGCAAAGCAUUUAGCUAGGCGUGACAGAAUUAUAUCGGCCAAAGGAAAAUGUGGGCUGAGCUAAAGAAAAAACUAAAAGCAUUUGCUUCAUGGUGUAAUCCUGAUAUUGACAGGGAAAGGCUUAGCUGACCAAUAGGUUUUUCCAUAUCUAAUUUUUAUGAUUUCAUACUUAAAAUUGUAACAUUACUGCUUUCAAAGGCUCUAAAGGACAUUCUUGUAAGACUCCGAUGAUAGAUCUCCACAUGGAGUAGUUAUGUUUUCUGGGAUUUUAUCAGAUAGGUUAAUUUUCUGGAUAUCUUUCCAAAAUGUUAAGCCACAAGACAAUAAUCAAAGUAUUCUUCUUUGUCAUGGUACGCUACACCAAUUGAAGCCAGUGAAUCUACUCAUGUGAGUAUGACAAGCAAGAUCUGGCUCUCUUGGUAUAUCAAAAGCUGGGAUUGCUGAAAAGUGU